CUGCCGGUGGAAGUCCGGUCCGGGUAGCUGCCAGGAGGCCCGGUAGCAGACUGGCGGCGUCGGGGGGAAACGCCCGGCGUCGAAGCCCAGUGUCGAAAGCCCUGUGAAGGGGGAGCAAAGCAGCGGUCCGUAGCAUCA
rfam:Streptomyces sp. MP131-18 scaf_01, whole genome shotgun sequence.